rnacentral:rRNA from 1 species
UUUAUGGAGAGUUUGAUCCUGGCUCAGGAUGAACGCUGGCGGCGUGCCUAAUACAUGCAAGUCGAGCGAACAGAUGAGAAGCUUGCUUCUCUGAUGUUAGCGGCGGACGGGUGAGUAACACGUGGGUAACCUACCUAUAAGACUGGGAUAACUCCGGGAAACCGGGGCUAAUACCGGAUAAUAUAUUGAACCGCAUGGUUCAAUGUUGAAAGACGGUUUCGGCUGUCACUUAUAGAUGGACCCGCGCCGUAUUAGCUAGUUGGUAAGGUAACGGCUUACCAAGGCAACGAUACGUAGCCGACCUGAGAGGGUGAUCGGCCACACUGGAACUGAGACACGGGGAGCAGUUUGUGGCCACCGGAACGGCAAAGCAGGCUGACAACAGGAAGAUCCAGGACGCCCACGAGGCUAUCCGCCCCACGGAUGUGACCAGAACCCCCGCGGCCAUGAAGGAAUCCCUCACAAGAGAUCAGUUCCGCCUGUAUCAGCUUAUCUGGAAACGGUUCGUGGCAAGCCGCAUGCAGCCCGCCAAAUACGAGACUACCUCCGUGAAGAUCGAUGCCGGAGAUUACCGGUUUACCGUGGCUGCCUCCAAGAUUGUAUUUGAGGGCUUCCGCACGGUGUACACUGAGUCCGACGAGGAGAAGGAGGAGUCCAACGUACUGCUGAAGGGACUGGAUGAAAAUUCUGUCCUCACGAAGAAGG